rnacentral:rRNA from 1 species
AUUGAACGCUGGCGGCAGGCCUAACACAUGCAAGUCGAACGAGUGGCGGACGGGUGAGUAAUGUCUGGGAAACUGCCUGAUGGAGGGGGAUAACUACUGGAAACGGUAGCUAAUACCGCAUACCAUCAGAUGUGCCCAUAUGGGUGUAGCUUGUUGGUGGGGUAAAGGCUCACCAAGGCGACGAUCCCUAGCUGGUCUGAGAGGAUGACCAGCCACACAGGAACUGUGCCCCGGUCCAGCCUCCUACGGGAGGCAGCAGUGGGGAAUAUUGCACAAAGAGCGCAAGCCUGAUGCAGCCAUGCCGCGAGUAUGAAGAAGGCCUUCGGGUUGUAAAGUACUUUCAGCGUGGAGGCGUUACCCGCAGAAGAAGCACCGGCUAACUCCGUGCCAGCCGCCGCGGUAAUUC